rnacentral:rRNA from 1 species
CCUACGGGUGGCAGCAGUGGGGGAUAUUGGACAAUGGGGGGAACCCUGAUCCAGCGACGCCGCGUGAGUGAAGAAGUAUUUCGGUAUGUAAAGCUCUGUCAGCAGGGAAGAAAGAAAUGACGGUACCUGACCAAGAAGCCCCGGCUAACUACGUGCCAGCAGCCGCGGUAAUACGUAGGGGGCAAGCGUUAUCCGGAAUUACUGGGUGUAAAGGGAGCGUAGACGGUGCAGCAAGUCUGAUGUGAAAGGUCGGGGCCCAACCCCGGGACUGCAUUGGAAACUGUUGAACUGGAGUACAGGGGAGGUAAGCGGAAUUCCUAGUGUAGCGGUGAAAUGCGUAGAUAUUAGGAGGAACACCAGUGGCGAAGGCGGCUUACUGGACUGUAACUGACGUUGAGGCUCGAAAGCGUGGGGAGCAAACAGGAUUAGAUACCCUAGUAGUC